rnacentral:rRNA from 1 species
AAGAACUUUGAAAAGAGAGUGAAAUAGUGCUUGAAACCGUUGGGAGGAAAGCGAAUGGAGCUACUAAAUAGACCAAGAAUUCUCAAACCGGCCAAAAAAAAAUAAAAAAAAAAAAUUUUUUUUUUUUUUUUUUUUUUUAAAGGAAUCCGUUGUAGUGAUCUUGGAUCUACGUUUGCAAAAACUUUUUAUCCUGGCGGUUCAUAACUUUAGAGUUAAUCUAUAUGAUAUUUUGUACUAUUUUAAUAGUCGAACUUUAUGUAGAAAUAAAUCUAUCGUAAUGUGACCAGAGACAAAGGUGGAAGCAGCUUACAAUGAAAUAAUUUGAUGGGCUAUAAAAUUUUUUUUUAAAAAAAAAGCAGACGGAAGGGCUUUAUUCGACCCGUCUUGUAACACGGACCAAGGAGUCCAG